GACGAACGCUGGCGGCGUGCUUAACACAUGCAAGUCGAACGGAAAGGCCCUGCUUUUGUGGGGUGCUCGAGUGGCGAACGGGUGAGUAACACGUGAGUAACCUGCCCUUGACUUUGGGAUAACUUCAGGAAACUGGGGCUAAUACCGGAUAGGAGCUCCUGCUGCAUGGUGGGGGUUGGAAAGUUUCGGCGGUUGGGGAUGGACUCGCGGCUUAUCAGCUUGUUGGUGGGGUAGUGGCUUACCAAGGCUUUGACGGGUAGCCGGCCUGAGAGGGUGACCGGCCAAAUUGGGAAUGAGAGAAGGGCCAGAACCCCUAGGGGGGGAGGCGGGGGGGAAAUUUGAAAAAGGGGGGAAGCCCUGAGCCGGAAAGCCGGGGGGGGGAAUAAGGGCCUUGGGGUUGAAAACCCUUUUGCCCGGGAAGGAAGGGGGGGGGAGGGAAAUGGGAAAAAAAGACCCGCUAAACUAGGG
rnacentral:rRNA from 1 species